UGUUCUUGGUCUGGUCCGGAAGGUUCCAAAUAGGUGUCUGGUCUCUGGGGAAUCUUUUUGCCAGACACCUGGACACAAGAGGAAGAGGGUUAGAAAAAAAUACAUUACACCACUCUAAAACCCUUUAAAACAUACCACAUACAUUACACACUGACACUUAAAAGAUAUCACCAAAAUUACAUUCAUCAUUCUUAUUUCUACAGGCUGGAGCCUGGGGAUGUGCAAAUUAGUAAAAACUUUAAAGUGCAGUGUGCCAUCCAAAGUGCUAUGUGCAUGUUCAAGCGUUUCAGAUUUAUGAUGAAGUGAGCAUGUGGGCUAGUGCCAUGUUUGGAGGCCUACACACUUUAAAUUUUGCAAUUGCAAAUUACAAGAUGGUAAAGUUGUCAAGUCUUCUCAGCACUAAGAAGUUCCUCUUGGGCUGUCUUGGGUGAACUACAUGCCAGAGAUCUCC